AGCGUAGUUCGGAAUUACUGGGCUUAAAGAGUUCGUAGGUGGUUAAAAAAGUUGGUGGUGAAAUCCCAGAGCUUAACUCUGGAACUGCCAUCAAAACUUUUUAGCUAGAGUAUGAUAGAGGAAAGCAGAAUUUCUAGUGUAGAGGUGAAAUUCGUAGAUAUUAGAAAGAAUACCAAUUGCGAAGGCAGCUUUCUGGAUCAUUACUGACACUGAGGAACGAAAGCAUGGGUAGCGAAGAGGAUUAGAUACCCUCGUAGUCCAUGCCGUAAACGAUGUGUGUUAGACGUUGGAAAUUUAUUUUCAGUGUCGCAGCGAAAGCGAUAAACACACCGCCUGGGGAGUACGACCGCAAGGUUAAAACUCAAAUGAAUUGACGGGGACCCGCACAAGUAGUGGAGCAUGUGGUUUAAUUCGAAGAUACGCGCAGAACCUUACCAACACUUGACAUGUUCGUCGCGACUUUAAGAGAUUAAAGUUUUCGGUUCGGCCGGACGAAACACAGGUGCUGCAUGGCUGUCGUCAGCUCGUGUCGUGAGAUGUUGGGUUAAGUCCCGCAACGAGCGCAACCCUCACUUUUAGUUGCCAUCAUUUAGUUGGGCACUCUGAAAGAACUGCCAGUGAUAAGCUGGAGGAAGGUGGGGAUGACGUCAAGUCCUCAUGGCCCUUACGUGUUGGGCUACACACGUGCUACAAUGGUAUCUACAACAGGAAGCAAGACUGCGAAGUUAAGCAAAUCCUUAAAAGAUACCUCAGUUCGGAUUGCACUCUGCAACUCGAGUGCAUGAAGCUGGAAUUACUAGUAAUCGUGGAUCAGCGUGCCACGGUGAAUGCGUUCCCGGGUCUUGUACACACCGCCCGUCACACCAUGGGAGUUGGUUCUACCUUAAUAGGCAAGGUUUAAAACCCUUGACCACGGUAUAGUCAGCGACUGGGGUGAAGUCGUAACAAGGUAGCCGUAGGGGAACCUGCGGCUG
rnacentral:rRNA from 1 species